AGCGAACGCUGGCGGCAGGCCUAACACAUGCAAGUCGAACGAACCUUUCGGGGUUAGUGGCGGACGGGUGAGUAACACGUGGGAACGUGCCGUUAGGUUCGGAAUAACUCAGGGAAACUUGUGCUAAUACCGAAUGUGCCCUUCGGGGGAAAGAUUUAUCGCCUUUGGAGCGGCCUGCGACUGUUUAGCUGGUUGGGUGAGGUAAUGGCACACCAAGGCGACGAUCAGUAGCUGGUCUGAGAGGAUGAUUAGCCACAUUGGGGCUGAGACACGGCCCAAACUCCUACGGAGGGCAGCAGUGGGGAGUCUUGCGCGAUGAGCGAAAGCGUAGCGCAGCCGUGCCGCGUGAAUGAUGAUGGUCUUAGGAUUGUGAAAUUCUUUCACCGGGGACGAUAAUGACGGUACCCGGAGAAGAAGCCCCGGCUAACUUCGUG
rnacentral:rRNA from 1 species